rnacentral:lncRNA from 1 species
UUUUUCUGAUUUCAGGAACAGGAAUGACCAUGGGAAGUAUGAUGUGUCCAACAUGUCCAGUUAUCAAUUGUCCAACGAAUCAAUCAACUUGUCCCCCAACAGUAUCAACAUCGACAAGUACCAUACAGCCUACGACAACUGGCCAAUCUUGUGAUGUAAACGAAUUACAAGCGCUGAGAGACGAAAUUGUAGAGUGGAAUUUUUGUCAAACUAUAGCUAAUUCGGAAGACUGCAAUAAUAACGCUAGAUGUACUUUGAAUGUAAAUUGUGGGCCAAUACAAAAUAAAUGACACCCA